AGUGUAAUAAUACUGUUACAAUACUGUAAUAAUACUGUAAAAUAGUGUAAUAAUACUGUAAAAGUAGUGUAAUACUGUAAUAGUACUGUUACAAUACUGUAAUAAUACUGUAAUAGUACUGUAAUAGUAGCGUAAUAACACUGUAAUAGUACUGUAAUAAUACUGUAAUAGUACUGUAAUAGUAGCGUAAUAAUAGUGUAAUAGUACUGUUACAAUACUGUAAUUGUACUGUAAUAAUACUGUAAUUGUACUGUAAUAAUACUGUAAUUGUACUGUAAUAAUACUGUAAUUGUACUGUAAUAAUACUGUAAUAAUACAAUAA